CUCCCAAUCCCAAUCUUUGUGAUACAGCCUGGAUUCGAACCAGAGUGUUUGUAGUGACGCCUCUAGCACUGGAAUGCAGUACCGUAGACCGCUGCGCUGCGCCACUCGAUAUCAGUAUCAGGAAAUGAUCUCCAUAACAGAUUUUUGGGCAGACUAGAAGACACUGGGCAUCUCUCCUCUGAUGGCUGCCAUGAAUGGUCACGUCCCUGCGGUCAAGCUGCUGCUGGACAUGGGCUCAGACAUCAACACUCAGAUCGAGACCAAACGUAACACAGCACUGACCCUGGCCUGCCAACAUGGAGCACUGCGUCAAGGCUAUGUCAGGUGGCUAUGCUGAGAUGGGGCAUGUGCUGCUGGACAAGAGCGCUGACGCCACCUGUCCAAACCUCCCAAGACACCGUGUGCAUCAUUGCUGCAGACAAGGGCCACUACAAGUUCUGUGAGCUCCUCAUCAACAGGCAAUUACUGUUACAGUCUACCUACAGUAUGAGAGUGAGUGUCAUUUCAGUCAGAAUACCAUUCCUCUCCAGUCUUAUUGCUCAGACCUGCGACUCAUCUCUGAGUGAGUUAUUACAGUGUUAUAACCAGCAGUGUGUGUAGUUCGGCAUUUGCUUCUCGCUAAAGUCCAAACUAUUCACAUUUCCUCUCUCCUUUAGUCUGGUCCAUCUCAGAGCUGUGACCAAUCAAAUCAAUUCAAAUCAAAGUGUAUUUGUCACGUGCGCCGAAUACGUAGACCUUAUAGUGAAAUGCUUACUUUACAACCCUCAUUUCCCGGGCGUAACAUGUGACUUCUCUCUGAGUGAAUAUGUGUGCUGUUGUAGAUGGGGCUCUGCUCCCUACCCUGUGAUUUGUUGUAUGAAUUGCUGUGAUUUGAGGCUGUAGUUUCUGUUUUAUUUGUAUUGUAUGUGUGUGUAUAAGGGGACACUGCUGUGGUGGAUGUGUUGCUCAGGGCUAUGUUCCCUACUCCCUACAAAGCAUUUUAUUGUAUGUGUGUGUGUGUAUAAGGGGACACUGCUGUGGUGGAUGUGUGGCUCAGGGCUAUGUUCCCUACAAAGCAUUUUGUUGUAUGUGUGUGUAUAAGGGGACACUGCUGUGGUGGAUGUGUGGCUCAGGGCUAUGUUCCCUACAAAGCAUUUUGUUGUAUGAAUUGUAAUAAUAUCUUAUCUGUUUUUUCUUGUUUUGUUUUUUGGUAUAAAAUAUAAUUCUGAGCAAUGACUAAAUGACUAAAUGUCUACUUGUUAAUUGUUUCAGGUUGUUAGUUUACAACUAUCAGGGGGGGGGGGGUUGAGGGAUAAUAUGAAUUUGCAUCAGGACACUUCUGAGUGGACUCUGGUGAUACACCUGCAGGAUCGACUUAUUUCUGGCAGA